CACCUGCGUAUAUUCCUAAAAUAAACCGCAGUAACUAAAUGGUUUACAGCCUUUUUCAGAUUAAACUCACAGCAGGAAUUUGAGUUAACUAACAGACAUGCGGAAUUAUCCGAUAAAAAAGCCGGCAUUACGCCGGCUUGUUUCAU
rnacentral:sRNA from 1 species